rnacentral:misc_RNA from 1 species
GCUCGGGUUGGUUGGUUGGCUUAUAUGGAUACGUCGGAAACGAGGCUAUGACCAAAGCGUCAACCCCUACCUUGGGUGGUUCAGUGGAAUAAUUAGAAUCCAUAUCUGGUGCAAUUUGCCUGGUUUGGCGAUAAAGGGCGGCACGUUGUCUCCUUUCUCGGCGGAUCAGGAGAUACCUAGAGUAAAGAUGGAGAAGAACUAUGAGCACCACCACUGCAAAUAAAGAAAAGAUCGCCGCGACCAUGAU